UAGGGAAUUUUCGGCAAUGGGGGGAAACCCUGACCGAGCAACGCCGCGUGAGUGAUGAAAGUCUUCGGAUUGUAAAGCUCUGUUGUAAGGGAAGAACGGCUUGAGGAGAACUCAAGAGUGACGGUACCUUACCAGAAAGCCACGGCUAACUACGUGCCAGCAGCCGCGGUAAUACGUAGGUGGCGAGCGUUAUCCGGAAUUAUUGGGCGUAAAGGGUGCGUAGGCGGCCUUUUAAGUUGUGGUGAAAGCGUGGGGCUCAACCCCAUACAGCCAUAGAUACUGGAGGCUAGAGUACUGGAGAGGGCAGUGGAAU
rnacentral:rRNA from 1 species